rnacentral:rRNA from 1 species
AGUCGAACGGUAUUAAGCAAGCUUGCUUGCUUUUUUAGUGGCGAACGGGUGAGUAACGCGUAAGUUACCUACCCCUGGGAGAGGGAUACUAACUGGAAACGGUUUUUAAUACCUCAUACGCUGAGAAGUAAAAGUAACAACGCCUAGGGACGGGCUUGCGUCUGAUUAUUUUCGCUAGUUGGUUGAGGUAAUGGCUCAGCCAAGGUGAUGAUCAGUAGCUGGUCUGAGAGGAUGACCGGCCACACUGGGACUGAGAAACGGCCCAGACUCCUACGGGAGGCAGCAGUGAGGAAUCUUCCGCAAUGGGCGAAAGCCUGACGGAGCAAUGACGCGUGAGGGAUGACCGCCUGUGGGUGUUAAACCUCUUUUCCCGGAGAAGAAGGAUACGCAAGUAUUUUGACGGUAUCCGGGGAAUAAGCAUCGGCUAACUCUGUGCCAGCAGCCGCGGUAAUACAGGGGAUGCUAGUGUUAUUCGGAAUUAUU